rnacentral:rRNA from 1 species
UAUUAUACUAAUAAUUAAUAUUAUAAAAUCAAGUUAUUAAUAGAUAUAAGCUAAAAAACUAAAGAAUUUGGCGGUGAUUUAGUCUUGUUAGAGGAACCUGUUUAUUAAAUCGAUAAUCCACGAAGUAUCUUACUUACCUUUGUUAUAGUUUGUAUACCGUCAUUAGCAGAUAAUUUUUAUAAAAUUAAAUUAUUAUUCUUAAAUUUAUUUGUGAAAUUAGAUCAAGGUGCAGCUUAUAGGUAAGCUAAAAUGGGUUACAAUAACUUAAAGUUAUUAAUGAAGUAGUAAAGGAAGUUUUUAUUAUGAAGGAGGAUUUAAUUGUAAUAUAAAUUUAAUAUGUUUAUAUGAUAUAAGCUCUAAAUCAU